CGAUGGAGGGGGAUAACUACUGGAAACGGUAGCUAAUACCGCAUAACGUCGCAAGACCAAAGAGGGGGACCUUAGGGCCUCUUGCCAUCGGAUGUGCCCAGAUGGGAUUAGCUAGUAGGUGGGGUAAAGGCUCACCUAGGCGACGAUCCCUAGCUGGUCUGAGAGGAUGACCAGCCACACUGGAACUGAGACACGGUCCAG
rnacentral:rRNA from 1 species